UGCCAGACUCCUACGGGAGGCAGCAGUGGGGAAUAUUGGGCAAUGGGCGCAAGCCUGACCCAGCAACGCCGCGUGAAGGAAGAAGGCUUUCGGGUUGUAAACUUCUUUUGACAGGGAAGAGCAGAAGACGGUACCUGUCGAAUAAGCCACGGCUAACUACGUGCCAGCAGCCGCGGUAAUACGGAGGGUGCGAGCGUUAAUCGGAAUUACUGGGCGUAAAGCGCACGUAGGCUGUAUGACAAGUCAAGGGUGAAAUGCCACGGCUCAACCGUGGAACUGCCUUUGAAACUGUCAAACUGGAGUAUGUGAGAGGGCGGCGGAAUUCCUGGUGUAGGAGUGAAAUCCGUAGAUAUCAGGAGGAACAUCAGUGGCGAAGGCGGCCGCCUGGCACAAAACUGACGCUGAGGUGCGAAAGCGUGGGUAGCAAACAGGAUUAGAUACCCUUGUAA
rnacentral:rRNA from 1 species